UACGUAGGUGACCAGCGUUGUCCGGAUUUACUGGGCGUAAAGAGCGCGCAGGCGGUCGUUCAAGUCGAGUGUGAAAGCCCCCGGCUCAACUGGGGAGGGUCACUCGAUACUGAUCGACUUGAAGGCAGGAGAGGGAAGCGGAAUUCCCGGUGUAGUGGUGAAAUGCGUAGAUAUCGGGAGGAACACCAAUGGCGAAGGCAGCUCGCUGGGACGGUACUGACGCUGAGACGCGAAAGCGUGGGGAGCAAACAGG
rnacentral:rRNA from 1 species